rnacentral:lncRNA from 1 species
GGGGGAGGUCGUGAUGAUCAUGAUGAUCUGGUUUUCCGGUGAGUUUUUGGACGGUUUCACGGAAGUUGGAGACGUCGGUCUUAAUGAUCUCCGGUGCGUAUAUGUGGAUGAUUCGGAUCUUGGGCUUCGAUUUGGUUAGUGUUCUUGAUUGUUUGUGCAUCGCUAUAGUUGAUAAGCUUCUUCUUUUCUGAACAGUAGUAGCUUCAUUUUCCAUAGUUUUGUAGAAAAGAGUUAGGUUUUAUGUGAUAAAGAAGAGAGAGUUGGUGAAUUUUGAUGGUAAGUGGAAUAUGUUUAGGUUUAUAUAUAUAUAGGGGAAGAGAGAAGGAAAUGAUAAAGAAAAAGACACUUAUUUUUAGAGUCACAAGUUUUAGUGACAACUACUAUAUUUUUAUUCUUGUCUUCUGUUAUUUUUAUUUUUGUUGCUAAGAUUGUUUUUCUUAUUUCAUACUUCUAGUUUUGUUUUUGUCAACUCUAUCGUAUUUCCAGAUUGUAUAUGUAUCUAAAUGUAGGAUCCUAUAAACACACAUAUAUAUAUACAUAUAUAUAUAUUUAAAUUAAUAAAGGCAAAUGAAAUUGGUUGAUGACUUUAAUUUAUGAGAGAUCAAUAGAUAAACUAUAGUUGAAUUAAUUAAGAUACAUAUGAGACUAUAUUUAUGUUGAUGCAAGAGAUGUGUAAGGCUGUCUCCCAAAGACAUGAGAUUUAUGAAUCUAAAUCAAGUCUACGGACCCCCUCCAACUAACCAAAUCCUCCUGUUGGAAUGUCUUAAGACAUUUCAUUUCUUUUUUUUUUGUUAGCAUCAUUGAUUUUUUUCGUUAGUUAGUAUCAUUGAAUUUUUUUUUCCUUUCUUUUGAUCAGAUAUACGCACCAAAUUUCAAUUAUACAGCUAAAUGCGUACACAUAGUGUAAAAGGAUAUUAUAUGAAUGAAGGUGAAAUAUGUACAUACAAAGUGUUUGAGCAUAUUAUAUGUGAAGGUGAUACAUCGAUACAACAUUUCCAAUUGAAAUGUAUUUUCUGUCGACAUAUAUAGUCAAUUAUAGUAAAAGUAGUAGUCAUUAGUAUAUGGCAAUGUGUGUUUAGGUAGUACGCUUAAAUCUAAGUGGC